rnacentral:rRNA from 1 species
UUUGAUCCUGGCUCAGGAUGAACGCUAGCGGCAGGCUUAACACAUGCAAGUCGAGGGGUAUUUAUCUUCGGAUAGAGAGACCGGCGCACGGGUGCGUAACGCGUAUGCAAUCUACCUUUUACAGAGGGAUAGCCCAGAGAAAUUUGGAUUAAUACCUCAUAGUAUAGUUCUACCGCAUGGUAGUACUAUUAAAGUCACAACGGUAAAAGAUGAGCAUGCGUCCCAUUAGCUAGUUGGUAAGGUAACGGCUUACCAAGGCAACGAUGGGUAGGGGUCCUGAGAGGGAGAUCCCCCACACUGGUACUGAGACACGGACCAGACUCCUACGGGAGGCAGCAGUGAGGAAUAUUGGACAAUGGGCGCAAGCCUGAUCCAGCCAUGCCGCGUGCAGGAUGACGGUCCUAUGGAUUGUAAACUGCUUUUGUACGAGAAGAAACACUGCUUCGUGAAGCAGCUUGACGGUAUCGUAAGAAUAAGGAUCGGCUAACUCCGUG